GGGAUAACAUCUCUAAUAAGUCACAUGGAUGGUAUUUCCGAGUUCAUCAGUUGAAACUUACAGUAAAUAUUAUUUACAUAUUAUACUUAAUGUUCACAUCAAGGUACUUUAGUGAUAUUCUAUCAUUAUGGUCUACGCAUUAUUGAACUUUGAUGGCAGCUUAACUUUAUGGACAUUAUCAGCCUAAGAUUCCAAAUUAGGUCCAUAAGUACCAACCAUAAAA
rnacentral:lncRNA from 1 species